AUUCAAUCUAUUUUUUAACUGUGAACUUUGCUGUAACUCAGGCGCUAUGCGCUGACUGGUGGAAAGGUGAUACUGUGCUUAGUGGUGGUGCAGAUUCCAAGCUUUGCAUGACUUCCGGGGUUUCUGUGCUGUGAGAGCCAUAAGCAGAAGAGUGAUUUGAAGAUGGAAGGACUUUUGCAUCGCUUACAACUUGCUUGAAUCUCUACAUGUUUCAUGAUCCUGUGGAAAUUGGUCGCGAGAAUGGGGGCAAUCUGAGUAUUGUGUCUAUGGGGAUGUUUGGCCGUGACUUUGGUGCCUCACAUGGCCGGAGAAUAUAUAGUCUCGGAGCUAUUUUUUGGUCCAAGGCAGACUAUGGCUUAAGCAGUAGCAAUUGACUGACUUCUUUAGAAGUGUGCUCGAUGUACAAUUGCAUGAUUUAUAUCUUAUAUUUUUUUGGUAACUUUGUACUUUUGGAGGUUUGCUUGAAUUCUCUAAACGGUGAUCCUAUCAUUAAUUUUAUGUCUUAAAAUUUAGUGUUGUU